AUUGAACGCUGGCGGCAGGCCUAACACAUGCAAGUCGAACGAGUGGCGGACUGGUGAGUAAGGUAUGGGAAACUGCCUGAUGGAGGGGUAUAACUACUGGAAACGGUAGCUAAUACCGCAUACCAUCGGAUGUGCCCAGAUGGGAAUAGCUAGUAGGUGGGGUAAAGGCUCACCUAGGCGACGAUCCCUAGCUGGUCUGAGAGGAUGACCAGCCAAACUGGAACUGAGACACGGUCCAGAACCCUACGGGAGGCAGCCGGGGGGAAUAUUGCACAAUGGGCGCAAGCCUGAUGCAGCCAUGCCGCGUGUAUGAAGAAGGCCUUCGGGUUGUAAAGUACUUUCAGCGGGGAGGCGUUACCCUAAGAAGAAGCACCGGCUAACUCCGUGCCAGCAGCCGCGGUAAUAC
rnacentral:rRNA from 1 species